AUGAACGCUGGCGGCGUGCCUCAUCCAUGCAAGUCGCGCGAACGGACGAGAAGCUUGCUUCUCUGAUGUUAGCGGCGGACGGGUGAGUAACACGUGGAUAACCUACCUAUAAGACUGGGAUAACUUCGGGAAACCGGAGCUAAUACCGGAUAAUAUUUUGAACCGCAUGGUUCAAAAGUGAAAGACGGUCUUGCUGUCACUUAUAGAUGGAUCCGCGCUGCAUUAGCUAGUUGGUAAGGUAACGGCUUACCAAGGCAACGAUGCAUAGCCGACCUGAGAGGGUGAUCGGCCACACUGGAACUGAGACACGAUCCAGACUCCUACGGGAGGCAGCAGUAGGGAAUCUUCCGCAAUGGGCGAAAGCCUGACGGAGCAACGCCGCGUGAGUGAUGAAGGUCUUCGGAUCGUAAAACUCUGUUAUUAGGGAAGAACAUAUGUGUAAGUAACUGUGCACAUCUUGACGGUACCUAAUCAGAAAGCCACGGCUAACUACGUG
rnacentral:rRNA from 1 species